UACACCAAAAAGUCCAAUUAGGUUGUUGGUGGUGAGUACUAAGAUCUUUCUCAGGGUGUCGAGGCAGGGCUUCAACUGGACAAAUCAUCAGUAAAGCCCUUUAUAACUCUACCCGUGUCCUCAAAGAAUUCGAGUUACAUCCAGGUGACUACUGUUUCUCCCACUGACAGAUGGUUGCAGGAUAAUCCCAUUGAUUCCAGAGACCAGAGUUGGACGUGAGGGUGUAUGCCAAUGCCUCAGUGGCUUCCUGGCUGAGGAAAACUGUGAUGGUGGGAUGAGCAGCUGGACUUUCAUAAGACACCAGGAACCAGAAGCAGUACCACAUGAUCCCAAAACUUCCUGGGAGUAGGAAGGAAGUCGAAAAAAGGGAACGGAGAAGGCUUUAUAUGAACCCUCCAGGGAUUUGAGUUACGAUGUAUCCCCAGAAGAAGGACCCGUGGAUCAUCCCCACUGUCUCUGGAUCCCAGUCAAACUGAGCUUUCUGUUGGGAAGCACCAGGAAAACAGGACCGUGAGAAACAACAGCAAUCUGUACAUUUAACUAGUUUGACCCCUGAAACCACACAUUUCAUUUUAAAGUUUAAAGGGGGAUAACAUGUCACUAAACUGAUAAACAGUCAAAACAAGUGAUUGAUUUUAUACUUGACCACUGACUGAACACCAACACUCCUUCACAUCACUGUCUGGAAUAAACCUUUAGCUCUGCUGAGCAAACACACUGAAAGACUUUAUUAUCAAUCAGUUUCUUGUUUUUAUUAACACCAUGAUGAAAUAUUUAUAACAAUAAAGACACCAUAAACAACCAUUCUUUUGACAGUUUUAUUUUGAGAUUCAAAUUAAAAUGUUAAAAUGAGCUUUGUUAUUUUGAAGUAAUGAGGUAAUCAAUCCAUUUACCAAGAAAUGGUUUUCCUCUUAUUACACCUGACCACUGUUUAUUCUUUCAGGCCUAUAUGUGUGUGAAACGCGUCUUGAGUAAAAGUCUAAUUUCCCUAAUGUUUAAAGGCUUUAUAUGUGAUUUUUUACACUUAAAUAUAAUAGAAAUCAGGUAUAUCCUCUGAAAAUAAC